rnacentral:rRNA from 1 species
AUACGGAGGGUGCAAGCGUUAAUCGGAAUUACUGGGCGUAAAGCGUACGUAGGCGGUUAUUUAAGUCAGAUGUGAAAGCCCCGGGCUUAACUUGGGAACUGCAUUUGAAACUGGGUAACUAGAGUUUAGUAGAGGGGAGUGGAAUCUCAGGUGUAGCGGUGAAAUGCGUAGAGAUCUGAAGGAACACCAGUGGCGAAGGCGACUUCCUGGACUAAAACUGACGCUGAGGUACGAAAGCGUGGGUAGCAAACAGGAUUAGAAACCCUAGUAGUCC